rnacentral:rRNA from 1 species
GUGGGGAAUCUUGCGCAAUGGGCGAAAGCCUGACGCAGCCAUGCCGCGUGAAUGAUGAAGGUCUUAGGAUUGUAAAAUUCUUUCACCGGGGACGAUAAUGACGGUACCCGGAGAAGGAGCCCCGGCUAACUUCGUGCCAGCAGCCGCGGUAAUACGAAGGGGGCUAGCGUUGCUCGGAAUUACUGGGCGUAAAGGGCGCGUAGGCGGACAGUUUAGUCAGAGGUGAAAGUCCAGGGCUCAACCUUGGAAUUGCCUUUGAUACUGGCUGUCUUGAGUACGGGAGAGGUGAGUGGAACUCCGAGUGUAGAGGUGAAAUUCGUAGAUAUUCGGAAGAACACCAGUGGCGAAGGCGACUCACUGGCCCGUUACUGACGCUGAGGCGCGAAAGCGUGGGGAGCAAACAGGAUUAGAUACCCGGGUAGUCC